rnacentral:ncRNA from 1 species
CAACGGGCAAAGUUAACUACACGCUUAUUAGUUAAGUUUGCUAUGGGCGGCACGUAAAGAAACUUAUGUGCGUUUAUCUGUCAAACUCGGGGAAGCCAAUAGCGCGGUAAUCCCGAACCAAGCCUCAGAAAUGAGGAAGGUGUAGAGACUGGAAGGCAGACACCCUAACGAUAAUGACGAGGGUGAAGGGACAGUCCAGACCACAAACCAGUAUAACUGGGCAACGAAAGUUGUAGUUGGUAAG